GCAGUGGUGGUUCACUGGUAGAAUUCUUGGCUUCCAUGCAGAAGACCCAGGUUCAGUUCCUGGCCAGCU
rnacentral:tRNA from 1 species